UGACGUUCGGGCAGCUGCAGGCGGCAUCGAUACACGCGGGGCUGUGUUCGCGGCGUCCUUUCUCCGAUUCAACAAGCCUAACGACCUCGAACAACUUAGAUCCGUGAAACCCGCAAGGGACAUUGAAACGAAGCCGUUGGAGAUCGUAUUGGACGUUUUUCGCUGCUGCAAAAACGUGGACAGCAGCGUAUUGGUGGUGUUCGGCGAUUAUCUACAUCCGUUGAAACCCGAUUUAYGCUACCCACGUCUUGGCAAGCUAGAUCUAAUUUACCCACACCUAUACGAAGUCGUUUUGCGGUGUGAGGCCGACGCAACUUAAACACGUGGUUGAGUAAGUAGCACCAGGGGGCGAGUGCGUGCGUUAUUUAGCGUUAAUGGAAUGUUCUUGAUGCUGUUUUUUUUUUGUUUUUCUUGCUAAAAUAAUUUAAAUAAGCAUGUAAGGAUUGUUGGUUUGAAUUGUGAAUUCUAGCGAUCUUGUUGCCGUAUUUCUAUUAUUGAACACUUUUAAGGAAACAUGUUUCCUAUUCUUGUUGUUGUAGGUGAAUAGUAGAUUCUGAACUGUUGUAGUUAGAAGUAAUUGGCUCAUGACGUUGUGCUAAUGGGAUGUAGAUGAAAUGCUAGCUUGGUUAUAUCGAUAAUUUAAUUCAUAUUGUCUGGUUGUGAGCUGUUGGAUGAAUUUUGUUUAUUACGUGGAAAAGCAUGUUUGUAACGGCGCAGUGAUUUAGAAUGUGGGGGGUUUACUUGUAGGUGGUCACGGAAGGGUUAGUGAAGUGG